UUGCAGUUAAUUAAGCCGACCAGCCUCUGCUGCCAUCAGAGGGUGGUGUGCAAUGGCUGCAUACAGCGACUUCCCUGGCUGUGUACGCCCGCUGCUCUCCAUGCACGGUGCUCUAAGGGGCCUCGGAGACAAUA